AACGAACGCUGGCGGCAUGCCUAACACAUGCAAGUCGAACGAGACCUUCGGGUCUAGUGGCGCACGGGUGCGUAACGCGUGGGAACCUGCCCUUAGGUUCGGAAUAACUCCCCGAAAGGGGUGCUAAUACCGGAUACUGUCUUCGGACCAAAGAUUUAUCGCCUUUGGAUGGGCCCGCGUUGGAUUAGCUAGUUGGUAGGGUAAAAGCCUACCAAGGCGACGAUCCAUAGCUGGUCUGAGAGGAUGAUCAGCCACACUGGGACUGAGUCACGGCCCAGACUCCUACGGGAGGCAGCAGUGGGGAAUAUUGGACAAUGGGCGAAAGCCUGAGCCAGCAAUGCCGCGUGAGUGAUGAAGGCCUUAGGGUUGUAAAGCUCUUUUACCCGGGAUGAUAAUGACAGUACCGGGAGAAUAAGCUCCGGCUAACUCCGUG
rnacentral:rRNA from 1 species